CCUCUCAUGGCGUAGUGGUAACUCGCCCCAACUAGAGAUCGGGGAGUCGUGAGUUCGAUUCUCACUGAGAAGA
rnacentral:tRNA from 1 species